CAGCCGCCGCGGGAAUACAGAGGGUGCGAGCGUUAAUCGGAUUUACUGGGCGUAAAGCGUGCGUAGGCGGCUUCUUAAGUCGGAUGAGAAAUCCCUGAGCUUAACUUAGGAAUUGCAUUCGAUACUGGGAAGCUAGAGUAUGGGAGAGGAUGGUAGAAUUCCAGGUGUAGCGGUGAAAUGCGUAGAGAUAUGGAGGAAUACCGAUGGCGAAGGCAGCCAUCUGGCCUAAUACUGACGCUGAGGUACGAAAGCAUGGGGAGCAAACAGGAUUAGAUACCCGAGUAGUCCCUGUCUCUUAUAC
rnacentral:rRNA from 1 species